CUAUGUUUGUUACACAAGCGGACUAGCUUUAGUGGGAUUACCCUUCACUCGCCUCGACUAAGGGGCUCGCUAGAUCGUCUUAGCGAGACCCCUCGAAUUCUAGCGGACUAGUAAGACCGUCAUCUCUCUCGUCAUCCCGCUUUGCUCCAUAGCCUUGCCGGACCAUUCCUCGACCAACACCGCAUCCGCAUAAGCCUCUCAGAGCUUCCUCUUCCACUUCAUCUUCUUCAUUUUCUUCGAUUUUGUUUUGAAGAUUCGUGAAAUUAUUAGUGGGUUUUGAACGAUUUCUGGUUUUGAUCGAUUUCUGGGUUUAAUCGAUUAUGGGUUUUGAUUUACUUCUGGGAUUUCUGCAUUCUGAUUUAUUUCUUGGAUUUCUGGGUUUUGAUUGAUUUUUGGGUUUUAAUUUGAUCCACAAAUCAGUCAUAUUGUUUUAGGAGAAUGUUUGAUCCUGCAGAGAACAAUCGUCUUCCUCUGAGAAAAUCGUUCCAUGCAUGUCCUUCGAGAGGCCCUGUUGUUUUUCCCAGCAUCAACCUCGUCGAUUAUGCCUAUCAAUUCGAGUAAGUUUGCUUCUUAAUCUGUAUGUUUUUUCUGUCAUGUUUAUUUUGUGUUUAGUUGCACAGAAAGUUAUGGAAAUUAAAUGGUGGAAUGAACUAAUAAUGUUGAUAAAUUUUCUGUAGAAAUAGAAAAUAUGUGUCUUUGUACAUGCAGUAUGCAGAAUUGGGAUUUCAACCAAAACUCAUGCGUGGAUCGUGUAAGAAGUGUAGAGGGAUGGAAAUACUUAACAAGUUUAUGGGAAAUCUGAGUUGCUACAGCAGAGCUCUUAAGCUCGGGCUUCCUGGCGUCCUUUGUGCCCUGCAUUAUUGUGAAAGGAGAGUGCAAGAAGCAGCCAGCUGUUGAAUAGAGGGAGAGCUUGAGAUUUGAAACAACUAUUUUACUACCCUAGUUGUAACUUCUCUCUCUCUCUUCACUUGCUCUCUUAAAGACUCUCUCAUGCUCCUUUUAAAAUGUAACCUACAUUAUUAGAGUAAAAACCACAGAAACUACUAAGCAUGGAAGUAGGCCACAGCUUGCACAUAUGGAAGGUUCGUACAGUGCUCUGGACUUAUUACUGUCAUUAAUGAAAGAAAGAAAUUAUGGAUGCUUUAUUGGGAUCAGAGUCCAUAAUAUCAGCUCCAGUGUAUAAGGUUUUCUCCGUUUCAUAUUCACCGUGAACUUAUUAGUCAUUAUGCCUUGAUGAUAACGAUGUCGUAAGAGUCAUUUGUGUUGCAAAACAAGUCACAAUCUCUAUAUGUCAAGAAUCUGAGCUUUACGACAUCAGACGAGAGUUUGAAAAAGCAUUUUAGUGGACACGUGAAGGGGGGAAAACUAUUAAGUGUUAAGGUAAAGAAACACUUGAAGAAUGGGAAGAAUGUUUCAAUGGGUUUUGGUUUUCUGGAGUUCGAUUCUGUGGAGACAGCCACAAAUGUUUGCCGGGAUUUACAGGGAACUAUUUUGGACGGGCAUGCUCUUAUUUUGCAACUUUGUCAUGCCAAGAAAGAUGAAGUGCCUAAAAAGGUUGACAAUGAUAAAAGCUCGACAAAACUACUUGUGAAAAAUGUAGCUUUUGAGGCCACAGAGAAAGAACUGAGGCAGCUAUUUAGUCCAUUUGGCCAGGUACCAUCUAUAUCGAGAUGAGGAUAUACUGGGAACACUGCACGACUGAUGUAUUGUUUGACCUAUGAUCGUGUUAAUUUUGUUCAUGAUUUA